AUCCAUGCCAUGCUUCUUUCAAGUCCCAGAAACGAUCCCAAAGAAAUAACUCACUCCAGGGUUGCAUCUUCAGAGAAGACAAGGGGCCAAAUAUUAACAUGAUUGCAUCCAUUUGGGCCUCAUGCACUUUCCCCAGCCACAGAGGAAAGAAGAAUUUACAUAAUUGUGUGGCCUUCUCUGCUCUCUUCUCCCUGUCCCACCCCAAAGAACAGCUGCAUCCGGAUUUCAUUCCUUCACCCGCUGCUGAGGCUCUUGUGGAUCAAGUUGGUGCCUAAAUGCCUGUUUGCAGCGAUGCUGUAAUUGCUGCUGGAGAAGCCUUUUCGUUGGGGGAGAGGACAAGUAGCAGCACGACAGCUCGGAACAAACCCUCUCCCAUCUUCCCAGGGCACACUUUGUACACCAGAACAGAGAUCCCAGCCCAGAGAUCCCAAGCUCCAGCCCAGAAGGGUCCCAGCCCCACUGCUCCGGCCCCUCCUGCCCCAGCAAAAGGGAGGGAGGUGAAUGAUUAUAGAAGAGCAGGAGACAAACAACAAACAGACAAACGUACAAAUUAUUUUCACAUCCACCUCCUAAUUGCUUGCUAAAAACCCUCUAGGACUGCAGGAUCAAAUGGGACACUUUGCUGGAGCGGGGAUGAGUCACUUGUCAAAAAUUUUCAGCCUCAACAGCAAAUCAGCAGCGCUGGCACAGCGAGGCGUCCUCGAAAUCCAGCCUGGAAUUGUUGGGCAGCUUCUCCAGGGUGGAUCCAGCAAGAACAGAGCUCACAGACGUGAGGAGGGGCUUCAAGAUCUGCUGCUGAUCCUGGAAGUGUCACCUCCACCGAGGUGAGGAGAGACAGCUCAACACAGGCACGAAGCAGAAAUCUGAGCUGGAAAUGAACCCCCCGCUAAAUUUCAGAUGCUCCCACCACAGGUCUGCCUGCAGCACUCGGCCUCGUGGUGAUCACUUACCUUGACAAUGUAACAACCCAGCGCAGUGUAAUUCGGAGAAAAUUGGGUUUAGUCAUAAACUGGAGACAUCAGAGACUCUGCUCUAAAGCGGAAAAAAUAAUAAUAAUAAUAAUAUAUUGGAGGGGGGGGUUGGUUUUUUUACCAGAGAAAAAGUGUUUACCUACAGCAUGUCAAAUUUUAGCCUGCAGCAAAAUGAUUUAUGGACAAAUUCGAAGCUUCUUCGCAGCUGACAAGUUAAUUCUCACUGGGGGGAAAAAAAAAGCAGAAAAAGAGGAAUUAUGACAACACCGAAGAAUGUUAACAUGGUACCUACUCUAAUUGAAUAAAAGACACCUUACAGA